UGUAUUUGUGUACAGAGGGUCACCAUGGUCCAAUAUUUGUUUUUUCUUUAAUGAAAAACAUGACUGGCGCAACUGGAUUGACACCAUUAGCCAUCCAAUACUUUUGUCCACACUCUCAUUGCAGGGCAUCACAGGAACUGUACAUUGCUGGUGUGAAUCUCACAGGAAGAUCAGGCCCUUCCUAAUGGAGUGUCCAACACAGCUUCUCAUCCAGGCCCUUGUCAUUUCUAGACUGGACUAUUGCAACGCUCUUCGAACAUCUGCAAUCUCUCUAACCCUAACUGGACAGCUGAAUCCCUGACAAUAUUCAAGAAAACUCAUCUCUUCCAUGAACACUUAAUGGCAUCCUGCUGACUCUUAAAAAACACUAUGCUUUCACUAUUAAAUCCCUCUCUGUUCUAGUUUGUACUAUUCUGAAUAAUGUUUGAAUCUUUGUAUUUUUUAGCACUUCUUGUGUUUAUUACCUCCUUAAGAUGAAUUGUUCCUUAUUUCUAAGUUGCUAUGGAUAAAAACGUUGGCUAAAAGAAUGUUUAAAUGGCUAAUUAAUAUUUCAAAAUUAUGAAUGCAAUAAUUCAUUACUAAACAGCAAAUGUUUAUUUUUCAUAUUGACCACUGAGAGCUAGUGCAUAUUUCCAUUGUUUUUAAUAUUGUGGUUGUUUUACAGUAAAUAACUUUUAUACCUGCUUUUAUGACUUUUAAAUAAAAACAU